UACGUAGGGGCCUAGCGUUGUCCGGAAUCAUUGGGCGUAAAGAGCUCGUAGGCGGUUCGGCAAGUCACGUGUGAAAUCUCCACGCUUAACGUGGAGGCGCCACGUGAAACUGCCGUGACUCGAGUCCGGUAGGGGAGUGUGGAAUUCCCGGUGUAGCGGUGAAAUGCGCAGAUAUCGGGAGGAACACCUGUGGCGAAAGCGGCGCACUGGACCAUAACUGACGCUGAUGCGCGAAAGCUAGGGGAGCAAACAGG
rnacentral:rRNA from 1 species